GACGAACGCUGGCGGCGUGCUUAACACAUGCAAGUCGAACGGAAAGGCCCUGCUUUUGUGGGGUGCUCGAGUGGCGAACGGGUGAGUAACACGUGAGUAACCUGCCCUUGACUUUGGGAUAACUUCAGGAAACUGGGGCUCAUACCGGAUAGGAGCUCCUGCUGCAUGGUGGGGGUUGGAAAGUUUCGGCGGUUGGGGCUGGACUCGCGGCUUAUCAGCUUGUUGGUGGGGUAGUGGCUUACCAAGGCUUUGACGGGUAGCCGGCCUGAGAGGGUGACCGGCCACAUUGGGACUGAGAUACGGACCAGACUCCUACGGGAGGCAGCAGUGGGGAAUAUGGCACAAUGGGCGGAAGCCUGAUGCAGAAACGCCGCGUGCGGGAUGACGGCCUUCGGGUUAUAAACCGCUUUCGCCUGUGACGAAGCGUGAGUGACGGUAAUGGGUAAAGAAGCACCGGCUAACUACGUG
rnacentral:rRNA from 1 species